CCUACGGGCGGCAGCAGUGGGGAAUAUUGCACAAUGGGGGAAACCCUGAUGCAGCGACGCCGCGUGAGUGAAGAAGUAAUUCGUUAUGUAAAGCUCUAUCAGCAGGGAAGAAAAUGACGGUACCUGAGUCAGAAGCCCCGGCUAAAUACGUGCCAGCAGCCGCGGUAAUACGUAGGGGGCCAGCGUUAUCCGGAUUUACUGGGUGUAAAGGGAGCGUAGACGGCAGUGCAAGUCUGGAGUGAAAGGCGGGGGCUCAACCCCCGGACUGCUCUGGAAACUGUACGGCUGGAGUGCAGGAGAGGUAAGUGGAAUUCCUAGUGUAGCGGUGAAAUGCGUAGAUAUUAGGAGGAACACCAGUGGCGAAGGCGGCUUACUGGACUGUAACUGACGUUGAGGCUCGAAAGCGUGGGGAGCAAACAGGAUUAGAUACCCGUGUAGUC
rnacentral:rRNA from 1 species